rnacentral:tRNA from 1 species
CAUUAAGUGGCUGAAAAAGCAUUAGCCUCUUAAGCUAAAAUAUAGUAGAUUACUCUUAAUGA